CACACUGAGAGGAGAGGACGCAUCCAGAUCACAGCAGAUAUCAAGGACAACAAACUCACCGUCACCAUCCAUGAAGCCUGUAACCUGGUGCCCAUGGAUCCAAACGGUCUGUCUGACCCCUACGUGAAGCUCAAACUCAUCCCCGACCCCAAGAGUGACACCAAGCAGAAGACCAAGACCAUCAAGGGAAACCUCAACCCUACCUGGAACGAAACUUUCAAAUUUCCCCUGAAGGAUUCUGAUAAGGACCGGCGUCUGUCGGUGGAGAUCUGGGACUGGGAUAUGACCAGCAGG